rnacentral:lncRNA from 1 species
UUGUUCUCUUGCAGGUCGAGCAGCAGCUUCUUCUUCCGUUUCAUCAACUUCUUCUUCAUGAUGACUUCCAUUUGCAUUAUCACGAGGUGGAUUUUGCAAACGGGCCAUAAGUGCUUGAAAAUUAUUCGUUAACUCUUCCAUGCUUUGCUUCAACUCGUUAAAUUGUGUCAUGGUGACACAAUCUUCAAUCUGAUCUUCACCACUUAUCUUCCUGUGAAAUUAAUGACAGCAAAGCAACAAAUAUAUGUGGAAUAGGAAGUUAUAUGUGGAAACUCACAAUCUCACCUCUCUUACCAACCGAAGCUCUUAUGAAUUCCUACGGAUUACAGAAGGGCCAAAGCGCGAUGGUAUCACGAGAGUGAUGGUUAAGCGAAUACAAGAUUAGUGUUCCUAUGACGGUGGCUUUUAAGUGGAGCUUGGUGGGGAAUGGUUCACAAGGAAUGCAAUCUGAAUUCUAGUUGUUGUAAAGAUAAGUAACAAUCCAAACUAGAGAUCCAAUGCCUAGUGCUGAUCACGAGAUAUGAUUGAUGUAACCAAAGCAACUUGUGGUGUACGUUCAACACUUGUGCACAUCAACAAUCUGAUAUUUCUUCUUUCUUUUCAACACUUCUUUUCUCUCUCUUUUUUUAACUUUUCUCAACACUUUUUUUUUGCAACUUUCUUUCUCUUCCUUUUUUUUUGAGAUAUGAUAGGCACAAAGGACACAAAAAGAUGAUAUGAUCAGCAACUAAACAAAGACUCUAAUGGACAGAAACUUAUCAAAACUCACUAAAAUGACAGAUUGAAUCAAAGGGUUAUGGCAAAUAUUUUUCUGGCUUUUUAGUGGAUAGGACGAACACAAAAUAUAUUUAGCUAAGGGUAAAAGAAAUUCCUACCAUGGCAACUAAGGCUCUGGUACCAGAUGAUGGGGUCUUAGUCCCGAUCUUUACGAUGUAGGAUCCCGGUCUUGAUAACUAGCCGAAGAACGGCCGAUAACUUGCUGCAAGCAGCAAUAACUAGUGCAACCUAACGACGUGCACAAGGAGCCAACCACAGUCUCUAUACGGCAACCUGAACCAAGGAUUCGCCCAACCACACUCUCAAAGAAACCAACCUACGCAACCUGGAAUCAAUGGACCAGGAGCUAAGGGUAGAGAUCUCUCUCUGAAUUUGUUAGCACACAGCUGAACAGAGGGGUUUGUAUUUGGAUUAUCAAAAGUCUUUAAUUUCCUUAGGAGUACAGGGAUAUUUAUACUAGGAACAGCCCUCCUAGAUAGGUAUAAACACGAGAUAGAAAUGAAGAGUUAGUCAUCAAGAGCUCCUGAGUUGUUCCCACGUGGCUGUUGGCCUUCUGCAUAGUCUUCAAUGUUUUGGUCAUAACUCCUUCUUGGGAAGUCCAAAUGACGUGUCGUUAGUUGCGUUGGAAACUUAACUUGAUACACUUUCACACCAUGUGUAGUA